GGGCCAUCGGGGGAGCCACAUAUUUUUGGUGCAGGAGGCUGGAUUGCCUGAUAACCCCAGGCCAAAAAUCCAAAAAAGAGCAGCAGUGCUAUAUUCCUCAGCAAUCCUGAAGAAAUCGGGGAAGAACUGCUCCGCUUAGCUCUCCUUGUAUGAGCUCUGGCCGAUGCUGCCGAUAUCUUCCGGUUCACACCCCCCGCCAUUAAAGCCCUCGGUUACCCACAGAUCAGACCUCGCCCUGAAUUUCGUAGAGAUCAAGGGAAGGGAAAGAUCUGAAAGUAAAGUGAGAGCGUGGGAAGAAACAGAGAGAUUCAAGAACGAAUAUGGUUUUUUCUUUUUCUUUGUUUUCU
rnacentral:misc_RNA from 1 species